AUAGAAUGGAAAUGAGGGUAUUUAUACCCCUUGAUCAGAUCAAGGAUCGUGAUCACUCCCAGAAAACUCGAGAGAGCAUCAGAGCUCUCUGACCCGAGACACAACCGCGACCCGACAAUGUGACUCGACUGGAACUUUCAUGUCCGCCCACCCCACGAUGGGUCGACGGCGCUUGGGCACCAUCGUCUUCGUCUCGCUGUCGCCCACCUCCCUGUGACCUUAGAUCAUCCAUGAAUUGAACGAAGAAGGAGAAUCGAAGACCCGAAUCUCCGAGUCUCCUCUGGCGAUUUCUGCAAGUUCCGACGACUCUGGCCACCAUCUGAGCUGCAAGUGCCACGGCUCCGCCGUGUUCUUUGAGUCCGGCAACUUCUCCAGCGCUUCUAGCUUGAUCGGCAUGUGACAGAUGGUCCAUUAGUCGUACUUUACACGCUGGUGUACAUAGUCUGCGAGUUCGAUCAAGUUUUCAGAGAAGCUGUGUUUGGGUGCACUCGGCCUCCACCGAGGUUCUCUCCGAUGACUUUUCUGGUUUGUCUUUUGAUCGAUUUUGGUAUUAGACUAUGGACUGAGGCUUAGUUGUGUUGAAUACAAAACUGGGGAAUUAGUUAGCUACACCGGCUUGGACAUGCUGUGUUCUCCCUAAGAGUGCAGACUUUGAUCUAAGUUGAUCACAAGGUGAGUUGGAUUUGUUGGAGAAAUUCUGGGAAAUUUCCUUGUAGUUGAUUGCUGGUGUUUGUGUGAUAAUCAUAUCCUAUAGUGAAGGAUGGUAAUUUGAGUUGUUUCCGGUCUACAAGCUUGAUGUUUAGUCGAUUGUUAAAGCCUUAAGUUUUAAAUUGGUUUGUUUUGAAUUGGUUAUGAGGAUUUGAGAAAUGGUUAAGUUAUGACCUUGGGUGUCCUUAGUGUUUUGGGUACACCAUAUUUGAGAUUAAAAUUGUGUUGGGUGUCUGAUCCAGGAGGAUCAACAUAAUAAUAUAUUGAAAUUAUUCAAUA